UGGCAGCGCAGGCGGCUCUGCUCUGGCCCAAAGCGCAGCGGAAGCCAGGAGGGAUGCAGGCGGCGGAGACCUUGGCCAGUGGAGGAUGCGGAGGUGGAAGUGGAGCGGCUGGCGCUCCCCAGGAGCUCCGCAACGCGAGUGGUGCUGUUCACAUUUUUUAGCAAACGGUUGAAGGGACUUUGACUCCCUCCCUACACCACCCGCAACAACGAAAGAAAGAAAAAGAAAUGGGGACACAACCUAAAGGCCAGAACUUGCCGUGAAAAAUAGGAUUAUCUAAGAGAUGAAAUGACUGAUUCAGAGUUCAAUCCAAGUAAAGGAUUUUUGCUUCCUCCUUUUGAGGCACGGAACUUGGAGUGGAACACAAAAAGUGAGAGACUUUACAAGUUGGGGUCACAAGCAUUUGUGGAAUGGAGGGAGGGGUGAGGAGCAAUUGAUUUUGGCAAAGUGAUAAGGUUUUAUCAGAACUUUUUUUUUAGAUUUUUUCAAGUAAAUGAAAAUAUCGGUUUUUUCCUAAGGGUUUUAGCACUUCGGAGGUCAUCCACCUUCUUUGCUUAUUGAACUUUACUCUUCUGCUUCGGGUAACUGAAGUAUUAACAUUAUUUGAGUUUCAGGAUACUGAUCAUUUGAGAACUUGAUAAUGAAUCUAAAAAUCAAGUAAAAAUUUAUUUGAUGUAAGUAAUGCAGCUUUUAAUGUGCUGUUGCUGGCUAGGCUUUUAAAUCAGUAUGCAAACGGAAGUUUAUUCAAUUUUAAUUAAAACAUAAUAUCGUCAGCCUUCAAAAAAUGAAACUCAAAAAAAAUUUUUCUGAAUUUUCUUUCCAAAAGGAUAAGGAAGAAUAUGUUAAUUACAUUUAAAGACAAAAGGCUCCAUUUGUUCUUUUGCUUACUUCUUUGCUAGAUAUUGUCACACUAUUGCCAAUCAGCCUAAAAUUUCUCCUUGCCAUAGGGUAUUCAUAAAUUCCACUUUCAAUAAGUCAUGCAUAGUAGUAAAACAUUUAGUGGCAAAAUGGGGAUAGUAUUUGUUGUGUACCAAAGUGGGAUUUAUAAAUCCCAUCUCCAUGCCUAAGAAUUAAGCUUUGACCCUGGACUUGAGGCCUUAGUUGCAUCCUCACCACUCCCAACAGUAGCCAUUGAUGUUUAUUGCCAUUCUGAUUAAUUUAAAUGUAGAAGAGAUUUCAACAUGAAUAACUAUUGCUUGUUAGUAUUAUUUGCUUAAAGUUUUAAACCGUGUGCCCCUUACAAAUUGAACUCUUAUUAUGACUUCAGAAUCUGCUUUGGAAUGCCUGUCAGUCAACUUAUGCUCUGAUUGCAGUAGUUUUCAAUCAGAUAGGUAAGCACUUGGCAGCAUUUGUUUUUGGGUUUUUUUUUUAAUUUUAUGUCCAACUUCCAGGCCUCUCACUCUUCAAUGGCUGUGGAUAGCUUUGGAAUUCUGCCUGAGUUUCCUGGCUGAUCACAUGGACAGCCAAAUCUUGCUAGUCAGACUGAUCAGGAGAAGGUAUAGCCUUUUCUAAAAUUAUCUUAUUGGAGAUUUGUGCAUCCAUUUGAUGCUAAUGCAGGUGGAUCUAGUGUUGACUUUGGCAUCCAACACUAAUGGUACUUCCACUGCAUCAUUCUGAAGGUAAUCUAAUGGGGCCUUUCAUUUCUCUGGGCAAGUGGUAACCCAACUAUCAGGUUUUCAGCUUCUGCUCAAAGCACUGCCAGUUUGAAAACUGAUUUUCUAUCCACUUGCACAGCUCCGGGACUGCAGGGGCCUAGGCGGUAACCCAGAGAAACAGUGUGAUUGUGGGGGGAGAAGGUGGAAGGCGGGAAAGACCAGCAAAAUAAUCAUUAAAACUAAGGCUGGGCUCAUGCACUGAAAAUCAACCUAAUCCCUUAUUUUUUGACCCAUGCGCUGCUGCUGCUGCUGCCGCCGCCGCCGACUUAACUACAAGUGGUCUGCAAAGGAGAACAUGUGCAUCAAACAUUAUGGACAGACUGAAUGAAUGUUGUUCCUGCAACUCGUAGCAAGUGUUCAUAUGCAUGUAGAUGCCAUGAUGAUUCCUUUUUAAACAUUCAUUUCAAAGAAAAGUCAUUGUAACUUUUUGUUCUAGUGUGUAUUCUCAUACAGGAGAUGCAAAGCAUACAAAUACAUCAUGUGAGUCUUUUCCUAAAAGGGUCCUCACUUUGGAAAGACAUGCAACCAGUGGUUGUCAAGUCUGCACCCACCCCACCACCACGCCCCCACCCCUACACCUCUAGGGCAGGACCCACAAUAGUCUUGGCCUCUGACACCAGCCCAGUGUCCUUCCCCAGUGUUACUCAAGAUGGUCUUCCACUCUUCCUCUUUCUCUCCCAGUCUCCAGGACAAGCUAGGAUUGUCCUUUGUCCCUUAAGAAGUAUCCCUUAUGUUUGCAAGUUUCUCUCCAAUUAGCUUUAGUGUGUUAAAGCUGACCUUCCCUGCGUUAAUAGGCCUUUUAGAGUUACGGACUAUUCUAAAUGAAACAAAAGAUGGUCUAUGCAACUCUCUCAUUUUAUAGGAACACUGAGGCUUAAAGAUGUAUGCAAGGCUACCAGCUGGCAAGUGGAGAAUGCUAGAUGGACUCAGGCUGCCUUACUCCCACUUUCACUGGGCUCUUUACAUUAUUCUCGAGACUCCCCCUGCCCCAUUUUUUGGUCAUUCAUGUGGCAUUCGGAAGUUCCCCGGCCAGGGAUCGAACCCGAGCCACAGCAGCAACCCGAGCCACAGUAGUGACAACACCAGGUCCUUAACCCACUGAGCCACCAGAGAACUCCUAGGGAGUCCCUUUUAACUUUAGAAAAAUUCGCCUAUGUGGAAUAAGGAAGUUUAAAAAAAAAAAAAGAAAAUGUAAUGAUACUGGAGAUUUGUCCACUCUCUCAGGUAUUUUGUUCUUAGAAAUGUGUGUGAAGUUAGAGACGUAGCUCUUCUGUUUCCUUUCACAAUCUCCAUUCCCAGUUGCCUUUCUCAGUGUGAUCAUCUCACUCUCACCAUAUUUAGUAUGAUUCUGGUGUUUCUCUAUCCACAUCUUUGAUAUAAAAAGACAGCCAUUCAUGGGGUCCUCACCCAGAGAAGAUCUGUUCCAAUACUAGAAAAAAACCUUGGCUUUUUAUUUUUCUAUUUUUUGGCUGGGCCUGAGGCAUGUAGAAAUUCCUGGGCUGGGGAUCGAACCCAAGCCACAGCAGUGACAACGCCAGAUCCUUAACCUACGGAACCAUUAGGGAAAUCCCCAAACCUGGCUUUUUAAAGUCUACCCUGGCUUAAAGGUUCUUUCUUUCCUUCCUUCCUCCCUCACUUUCUCUCCCUCCCUUCCUUCCUUUCUUCCUCUUUCUGUCUUCCGUAUUUGAAAACCAAACUCUAAAAGUUUUUAAUGGAAAAUAUAACCAGAUUUGUAACUCGAAGUACACAUGGUCAAGGCGGUUGGUGAGUUAUACAUUUGCAUGACAAGGGAAAUAAUUCACAAGGAGCCCCUGUAUUGUGGAAAAAAAAAAAAACAAAAAAACCCGCAACAAUCACCCACCACCACCACCAUCACCAAAAUAAAAAAAUCCUCUCUGGAAGGUAGAAGGAUAUAAUAAAUAGGUUAUGGAUUCAAAUUCAGGUAGACUUAGCUCUGUGAAAUCGGGUGAGUUUCUGGACAUUUCUAAGGCUCCUCUUGCUUAUUUCCAAAAUGUGGAUAGUAUACUAGAAUUUUUUAGGAAAGCCUGAUGUAAACACAAAGGGACACAAUAGGAGCUUAGCUUUUUAUCUAUACGUGCAUUAAAUAUACUUAUUUCUAUUGAGGUUUUGGAACAGAGUUGCCCAGGAAUCUCAGUGAAUGCUCUUCUCACCUCUAGUUCUGUCUGCAAUUAAAAAAAAAAAAAAAAAAAAAAAAGGCAAGGCUUUUAAUCAGUUUUAUUUGGGAAGCUCACAUUUUAUAGAACACACAAUAUCUAAUGUAGGUAAUAAUGGCUCAGUAAAUAAUCCACAGACUGACAAAAGUAAUAAAAAAUUUGGUGACUUUAUAAGGUACAUAAAAACAAAUCUGCAAAUAUGUAAGUAUUUGUAGGAAACAGUCAAUAUUAAUGUAUUGAUUUCAUAUAGGAAAACAAAUUCAUGUUUGAAUUAUCUCAUAGGUUGUUCAUAGCAAGACCAGAACUAAAACUCAUUCUUAGAGCCUUUCUCUGCUGAACCUGGCUUUUGUCAUUUCUUGAACCACUUUCUGUUUAAUUUGUUCCCAGGAUCUAGGUUUCAUAGUUGAUUUCAUGAGUCCUGCUUAAAGAUCAGCUGAAUUUGAGAAAAUAUGAUUUGCAUGAUGUUCAAGAAAUCUAGGGAGUUCUUUUGUGAAAUAGCAUGUUAAGGAUCCAGCAUUGUCACUGCAGUGGCCUGGAUCUCUGACAUGGGUUCAAUCCCUGGCCCGGGAAGCAUGGGUGCAGUCAAAAAAGAAAAGAAAGAAAUCUACCUGCUGCCUCAGAAGUGUGAGUAUUUACGGGGCACCACUUUGGAUUGUUUAAAAGUCAGGGAGUUCCCUUCAUGGCUCAGUGGUUAAUGAAUCAAUCUAGGAACCAUGAGGCUGCGGGUUUGAUCCCUGGCCUUGCUCAGUGGGUUAAGGAUCCGGCAUUGCCAUGGGCUGUGGUGUAGGUCACAGAUGCAGCUCAGAUCUGGCGUUGCUGUGGCUCUGGCAUGAGCCGGCAGCAACAGCUCCAACUGGAUCCCUAGCCUGGGUACUCCAUGUGCCACGGGUGAGGCCCUGGAAAAGACCAAAAAAAAAAAAAAAAAAGUCAGAAGGCUUGUUUCUCAAGAUAAAUAUCUCUUCAGAAAAUAAAACAAAUCAUACUGAAGACUGUCCUAACGUUUGGUGGUGCCAAACUUUUGUCCUCACGUCCUUUUUAAAGCAAAUAUCUGCCUUUUGGAAAGUUCUGAAAUACAAUGGUCAGUGUUUAGAGGCUAGUAAAAUAUAUUUAGUAUCUGAACUUACACUGACUGUCUUCUUUCCUCUAGUGAAAAUUGAGGUGGUGAUAAAGUAUUUAUUAGACCUGGGGUACCUGUGUUCUCAUCCUAGGUGGAUGGAUGGCUGAAUCAUCUUAAACACGCCACUUAAUUUCUUUACAUGUUUUCUCAUCUAUAGGACAGAAGUAAUUCCACUUUCCUCACAAAAUACUGAAAGGACGCCACUUAAUUUCUUUACAUGUUUUCUCAUCUAUAGGACAGAAGUAAUUCCACUUUCCUCACAAAAUACUGAAAGGAAGCCAAGAAUGUCAAUAAAGCCUAUUUAGUUCUUUAGAGAGAAUUCUAGAUAAAUACCUGGAAUUCUUUAAGGCUGUGGAUUCAGCUGUCACAAGAGGAUGAUUAAUCGGUUCCAAAAGUUAAGUCACAUUUAAUGAUGUGGCAUAGCCACCAAGUGCUUAUUAAAUUUUUCUCCUUUUUUAUUUUCACUUAUCCACAAAAUUUAAAAAUAACAUACUUAUACAACAGCAACCCAGGUUCAUGCAUAGAUACUUGAGAAAAUUAGAUUGUUCUGUGCACCAUGAUCAUUCAUAGAUGAUUCAUAGUUGGUUCUUUAUAUCUCUAGAAAGAUACAAUCCUAGUUUUCCUUUAAACAGUGAAUGCAAAACAAAAAACAAAACCCAACGAUAGUCUCAUUUAUUACAGAAUUUGUAAUGUAUGUCACUGUGAUUCAUUCUUUUAUGUAGCUCAAAAGAGCCGAGUGAUUAUCACAAAUACGCAUUAUCUUUCUGGGAGGUCUAUUAUUUUGAGAAAGGUUUUUCAAAAACCCUUUUGCAGGAGAUGAGAAUAUUCUCACUUCUAAAGUUGUCAGGACAGCUGACAAAAAACAUGUAUUUGCAUUUCAAAACUGACUUUUCCAAGCCAUAUGAAAUUGCAAACUCUUCGAGCAUCCUUGGGACACCUGAGGUCUGCAGAAGAAGGAAGCAGUCUGAUCAUCUGGGCUCUGAGGGAAGGCGGGGAGAAGCAGCGGUGAGGACAAAUAGGCACAACUUGACAUCAGAAGAAGAAAAGGACUAAAAGCGCCUGAGUUUUUCAUGCAGCUCCUGGGAGACCAGAAUGUGACGAUCAUGGAGACCUUCGAUUUUAACAGAGAUCCUUUCUCUAUAACUAAUUCGACGCAUGGCUAUAUGGGUAAUUUUGAACAAGUGGAUCUUUCUCCAACCUGAAAGGCUGCCAGGAGGGAGAGCGAGGGAGAAAAAGAGGGUUUCAAAGGCGUCACAGAGAACCACAAAGUAAUCACGAAGCACCACUGUAUUGCCCCAAUCUCCUGACAGAAGUGCAUUGAGAGGUGCUGAUAUAGAACAGAAGAGGACACAUCGUUACAAUAAAAUACUCUGUAAUACCUGGGACAACAGUUGGAAAUCAUUUUGUCAUCAAACAGAGUGCCCGAAAUUGAAGAAACUGACUGUGUUUCCUGUGAGGAAUUUUUAAAGAACUAUUAUAGUUCCUGCCCACCCCCUCCCUUACUAUUUUACAGAAUUUCACAGAGCUGUGAAAUGUGAAAUACAGAAGACUAGAAAUGUGUAAUAGGAGCUGCCAUUGUAACCUUUAUAUAUCACAUUUAAUGGGGAAAAAAGCCUUUUAGCCAAAGAUUACAUUAUACAAGUGUAUAAUUAAGAUUACUUACUCUAAAUUUAGAUAUGACUAUCUUAUUGAAUCCAAAAUGUUGGAAUAAAUCAUUAAAGAGGGCACAGGCUUCCAAUCCUGUGAUGUCCUGACAAAUGGAAUACAUUUGGGGUCCUAUCAUAGCUUCGUAGUAAAUGGAGGAAAAUUUGAUUUUGCAAAUGUCAAUGGAGAUAUUUUAAUAGGACCAAUAAAAUGAAAAAUCUCAGUGAAUUAAAACGAUGUUAUUGAAAA